GGAUAUGAGAGUGAUCUGGCUGCGACAUCUGUCACCCCAUUGAUCGCCAGGGUUGAUUCACCUGAUCUGGCUGGCUAGGCGGGUGUCUCCUUCCUCCCUCAACGAUCCAUGUGCGUCCCUCCUGAAGCUGCACGCUUGGUCGAAGAGGAUGACCAUUCCCAAUAGAGAAGGACCGUUCCUUGGUCAAGGGUGUAUGAGUAGCUGCGCUCCCCUGCUAGAACCUCCAAACAAGCUCUCAAGAAAAGUAUAGAAUGAAAACAUAGCCACUCCUUUUGUGGACUGGGGAUUGCACCCAGGGUCUCAGGCA
rnacentral:snRNA from 1 species